CAGUAGCCGCGGUAAUACGUAGGGUCCGAGCGUUGUCCGGAAUUAUUGGGCGUAAAGGGCUCGUAGGCGGUUUGUUGCGUCGGGAGUGAAAACCCAGGGCUUAACUUUGGGCUUGCUUUCGAUACGGGCAGACUUGAGGCAUUGAGGGGAGAACGGAAUUCCUGGUGUAGCGGUGAAAUGCGCAGAUAUCAGGAGGAACACCGGUGGCGAAGGCGGUUCUCUGGGAAUGUUCUGACGCUGAGGAGCGAAAGUGUGGGGAGCGAACAGGAUUAGAUACCCCUGUAGUCCCUGUCUCUUAUAC
rnacentral:rRNA from 1 species